rnacentral:rRNA from 1 species
UCCAGACUCCUACGGGAGGCAGCAGUGGGGAAUAUUGCACAAUGGGGGAAACCCUGAUGCAGCGACGCCGCGUGAGUGAAGAAGUAUUUCGGUAUGUAAAGCUCUAUCAGCAGGGAAGAAAAUGACGGUACCUGAAGAAGAAGCCCCGGCUAACUACGUGCCAGCAGCCGCGGUAAUACGUAGGGGGCAAGCGUUAUCCGGAUUUACUGGGUGUAAAGGGAGCGUAGACGGCGGGGCAAGUCUGGAGUGAAAGGCCGGGGCCCAACCCCGGGACCGCUCUGGAAACUGCCCGGCUGGAGUGCGGGAGAGGUAAGCGGAAUUCCUAGUGUAGCGGUGAAAUGCGUAGAUAUUAGGAGGAACACCAGCGGCGAAGGCGGUCUGCUGGACAGCAACUGACGCUGAGGCGCGAAAGCGUGGGGAGCAAACAGGAUUAGAUACCCCCGUAAAA